rnacentral:misc_RNA from 1 species
GAUUUUGCAGAUUGCUGCUAUCACACGCUAAACAAAAACCGGCCAUUUUUUUGAAAGAGGCGGCGGCGGCGCCCACGAAAAAAAUGAGACUGAAAUGGUGAGUGUUUGUAGGAAACUUGGGAAUUGUUUGAAGGAAUCAUAUGGAGCUUCGUAAGAAAUACAAAUUGAAAAUUGUGUGGUGUUUCUUACAUCAUUCGAUUUUGUUGAUGUGAGAGAGAUUAUAUACGCUCUCUGCUUGGCUCUCACAGGACUGAGUUUGAAUCUUUGAAUUCAAAGCUUUGUUCUGUCUGAUACGAAUGCUUGGGUAUCUUCGUCUGACGAGAAGUGUGGGAGCUUUUCGUUCAGACAUCUUCGGAGACUUAUCUCUGAUCUUUUGUAUUGACUUUGUAGGAAACUACGAGUCAUACACAUAUUAU